AUCUGACUGGCUCAGUCAGUAGAGCAUGUGACUCUUGAUCUCAGGGUUGUGGGUUUGAGCCCCAUGUUGGGCA
rnacentral:tRNA from 1 species